rnacentral:rRNA from 1 species
UACGUAGGGUGCGAGCGUUGUCCGGAUUCAUUGGGCGUAAAGAGCGCGCAGGCGGCUUGGUAAGUCGGAUGUGAAAACCCGAGGCUCAACCUCGGACGUGCAUCCGAAACUGCCCGGCUAGAGGUAGGUAGGGGAGAUCGGAAUUCCUGGUGUAGCGGUGAAAUGCGCAGAUAUCAGGAGGAACACCGGUGGCGAAGGCGGAUCUCUGGGCCUUACCUGACGCUCAGGCGCGAAAGCUAGGGGAGCGAACUGG